CAGGUGAUACAGCCGUCAGUCUCCCACUAGCUGUAGGAUGGUGUGCUGCAGUUCACAGACCUAAGUCAAUGUUAGUCUACCACUGUACGUCUGGUAACCUCAAUCCCUGCAACCGGAGCAAAAUGUGAUUCCAGGUCUUGGCAACCUCUGAAAUUCCAACUCCAUUUGCGAGAGCUUUGAGGAGGCCAUAUGCUGAUUUCACCACAAGCAACUUCACAACCCAGUACUGGAAUGCCAUCAGCCAGCAGGCCCCUGCCAUUAUCUGUGACUUCUAUCUGUGGCUCAUUGGAAGGAAACCCAGCUACCGAAGGAAGAUACCCUCAUCAACCCAAUUUUACAAAUGGAGAAAUAGAAGCUCAGGGAAGAAUCUGAAGUAGUCUCAAAGGAAGUGACAGGAAGGAUGUGGAGAAAGCUGAGUGUCAAAGUCAGUAUUCAAGACCGGAUUUACUGCUACUUAGAGAUGAAUGAAGAAAUCAGAGGGAACGCAGUGUGCUGAUGCUAAAGCGGCUGUCACCACCCAGCUGUGUGACAUAGGACAUCUUCUUUCUCUGUCUCACUUGACUAAUAUGUUGUGUCAGGGGAGACAUGAUUGUAAUUGCCUAAAGCAAUUCUUGUGAUCAAGAAUCAGAAGCAUGAACAGUAUUGCCC
rnacentral:lncRNA from 1 species